GAUGAAAGCGAGGAGGUGGUAUGCAGAGAUCAUCCAUACGACGGUUUUAUCUGGCUUAUUUUCGCGCCACGCAGGAUGUGUGCUGGCUCGCCCGUCAGAGUGCAGGGCAGCGCCUGAAAAUUCUGGAAGAACUGAUGCAGUGGGAAGUGACAACGCCGAUCUCGAAGGACUGAAUCGCGGCCAUCAUGUGUGACUGAGUAUUAAGUGCGAAUGCACCCGCCAGCAAAACAUUUUUUGCUGGCUUUUUUC
rnacentral:sRNA from 1 species